AGUGAACGCUGGCGGUAGGCCUAACACAUGCAAGUCGAACGGCAGCACAGUAAGAGCUUGCUCUUACGGGUUGCGAGUGGCGGACGGGUGAGGAAUACAUCGGAAUCUACUUUUUCGUGGGGGAUAACGUAGGGAAACUUACGCUAAUACCGCAUACGACCUACGGGUGAAAGCAGUGGAUCUUCGGACCUUUCGCGAUUGAAUGAGCCGAUUUCGGAUUAGCUAGUUGGCGGGGUAAAGGCCCACCAAGGCGACGAUCCGUAGCUGGUCUGAGAGGAUGAUCAGACACACUGGAACUGAGACACGGUCCAGACUCCUACGGGAGGAAGCAGUGGGGAAUAUUGGACAAUGGGCGCAAGCCUGAUCCAGCCAUACCGCGUGGGUGAAGAAGGCCUUCGGGUUGUAAAGCCCUUUUGUUGGGAAAGAAAAGCAGCAGGUUAAUACCCCGCUGUUCUGACGGUACCCAAAGAAUAAGCACCGGCUAACUUCGUG
rnacentral:rRNA from 1 species